rnacentral:lncRNA from 1 species
GGCUGUUAUAAGAUGUCCUUAGAACCUUCUCUUCUUCAGGCUGAAGUGCCCCAGCUCUUUCAUUCCUUACCUGUAAGGGAGGUGCUCUAGCCCUCUGAUUAUCUUUGUGUCUCUCCUCUGGACAUGCUCCAACAACUUAAUGUUCAGCUCAAACACCUAAAAAACAUCAGGUGUAUAUUCAUUUCAAAGGAAAGAAAGGAAGCAUGAAGAAAAGAUGGAUUCAUAUCUGAGACUGGAACAGUCAUAUUUUUUUCCUUGAAGUCCUGAAUAUAUGAUCUCCCUAGAUACAGAAAAAUACCUUUGCAAGUGUCUGUCCCAGCUUUAUGUCAAAGCUGCUUUAGACUGGUGAGUUUUUAUCGCUAUUUGUAGGCUUGGUUUCUCAAUAUACUUUGACAAAUGCAAAUCAGCUUAUAUAAAAGCUUAGAAAAAGAAUUACAGUAAAG